CCUACGGGAGGCAGCAGUGGGGAAUAUUGCACAAUGGGGGAAACCCUGAUGCAGCGACGCCGCGUGAGUGAAGAAGUAAUUCGUUACGUAAAGCUCUAUCAGCAGGGAAGAAAAUGACGGUACCUGAGCAAGAAGCCCCGGCUAACUACGUGCCAGCAGCCGCGGUAAUACGUAGGGGGCAAGCGUUAUCCGGAUUUACUGGGUGUAAAGGGAGCGUAGACGGUCCUGCAAGUCUGGGGUGAAAUGCCGCAGCUUAACUGCGGGACUGCAUUGGAAACUGGCGGACUGGAGUGCGGGAGGGGUAGGCGGAAUUCCUGGUGUAGCGGUGAAAUGCGUAGAUAUUAGGAGGAACACCGGUGGCGAAGGCGGCUUACUGGACCGUAACUGACGUUGAGGCUCGAAAGCGUGGGGAGCGAACAGGAUUAGAUACCCUUGUAGUC
rnacentral:rRNA from 1 species